UACCAGCACCCCGAGUGGUCGGGACGAUUAUUGAGCCUAAAGCAUCCGUAGCCGGUCCUACAAGUCUUCCGUUAAAUCCACCUGCUUAACAGAUGGGCUGCGGAAGAUACUAUAGGGCUAGGAGGCGGGAGAGGCAAGCGGUACUCAGUGGGUAGGGGUAAAAUCCUCUGAUCCAUUGAAGACCACCAGUGGCGAAGGCGGCUUGCCAGAACGCGCUCGACGGUGAGGGAUGAAAGCUGGGGGAGCAAACCGG
rnacentral:rRNA from 1 species